CUGGUUGAUCCUGCCAGUAGUCAUAUGCUUGUCUCAAAGAUUAAGCCAUGCAUGUCUCAGUGCAAGCCGUACGCGCUCGCGCGUCUAGGUGAAACCGCGAAAGGCUCAUUAAAUCAGUUAUGGUUCCUUGGAUCGUACCAUCUAGUUACUUGGAUAACUGUGGUAAUUCUAGAGCUAAUACAUGCCGACAGAGUUCCAACCGCCUCAUCAGCGGGAGGAACGCUUUUAUUAGAUCAAAACCAUGCGGUGUCAACUUCGGUUGCGCCGUCAACAUGCGAUCUUCGGAUCGUUCAAGUGGUGACUCUGAAUAACUUUGAGCUGAUCGCACGGCCUCCGUGCUGGCGAUGCAUCUUUCAAAUGUCUGCCUUAUCAACUGUCGAUGGUAGGUUAUAUGCCUCCCAUGGUGUUAACGGGUGACGGGGGAUCAGGGUUCGAUUCCGGAGAGGGAGCCUGAGAAACGGCUACCACCUCUAAGGAGGGCAGCAGGCACGCAAAUUACCCACUCCCAGCUCAGGGGAGGUAGUGACGAAAUAUAACGAUACGGGACUCAUCCGAGGCCUCGUAAUCGGAAUGAGUACACUUUAAAACGUUUAACGAGGAUCCAUUGGAGGGCAAGUCUGGUGCCAGCAGCCGCGGUAAUUCCAGCUCCAAUAGCGUAUAUUAAAGUUGUUGCGGUUAAAAAGCUCGUAGUCGGAUGUGUGUCUCGCGGCGUCGGUUCACCGCUUGCAGCGGUGUCAACUGGCGCGUCGGCGAAAUGUCCUGCCGGUGGCGGUUCGGCCGGUGUAUGCGAAGAGCCCUGCACUUUGGUGCAGCGGUGUUCAGUUUCAUUUGGUUGGCCGUCGGUUCCUUCCCGCGCAGGGGAGGAUUCCUGUCGCGGUGCUGGUGACCUUCGGGUCGCUCAGUGUCGAGGCGGACCGGCACGUUUACUUUGAACAAAUUAGAGUGCUUAAAGCAGGCAAGCAAUGUGUGACGGGGUUUGCCGCCCCGGCCGCCUGAAUACUGUGUGCAUAGAAUAACUGAAUAAGACGUCGGUUCCAGAGGUUUAAGUGGUUUUCGGAACCCGACGUAAUGAUUAACAGGGACGGGCGGGGGCAUUCGUAUUGCGACGUUAGAGGUGAAAUUCUUAGAUCGUCGCAAGACGAACCGAAGCGAAAGCGUUUGCCAAGUACGUCCCCGUUGAUCAAGAACGAAAGUUAGAGGUUCGAAGGCGAUCAGAUACCGCCCUAGUUCUAACCAUAAACGAUGCCAGCCAGCGAUCCGCCAAAGUUCCUCCGAUGACUUGGCGGGCAGCUUCCGGGAAACCAAAGCUUUUGGGUUCCGGGGGAAGUAUGGUUGCAAAGCUGAAACUUAAAGGAAUUGACGGAAGGGCACCACCAGGAGUGGAGCCUGCGGCUUAAUUUGACUCAACACGGGAAACCUCACCAGGCCCGGACACCGGAGGGAUUGACAGAUUGAGAGCUCUUUCUUGAUUCGGUGGGUGGUGGUGCAUGGCCGUUCUUAGUUGGUGGAG
rnacentral:rRNA from 1 species